rnacentral:lncRNA from 1 species
GGAGAAGGGGCUUUGCGUUUGUUUCUAGUCGCCUGUACGCAGUUUGGCGACGGACGAGCGAAACAUAAUAAAUAGCGGGGAUCACUGCUUCUCCAAAUAGUUGUAGUGUAUAUGAGUAUGCUCUGAUGGCUAGAUGGUACUUCUUUCGGCUCGCGGUAUUCGCGCCUCGUGAAUCGGCAUGUCUAUGCAAGAUUUGAGCCCCGGAACCACACCCACCUGAAACAAACGGUCUGCCGGCCUCGCAACACCUUAAAUAACAUAUAAUUUAAGAUUAUUAAGGCGUGAACGCUAUCUCUUUAUUUAUGCGCCCGAACUUGCCCUGUUCGGAAUUACCCACUGUUCGAAAUUAGCCGGGGCAACCUGUAUGUGUGGCUUUCAGCUCGCUCGCUGUUCUUAAGAGCAACAUUGAUCUUAAACUUAUCAAUAUGCUUUCCACAAAACGUGCCAGCCGACGCGCCUUUAGUGGAACGCCCUGCAAGGUUGAGGGCACGUGAGCGACGUCCAGCUGCAGCGACCGAGCGAGGACGAUAAUAAUCGAAGCAGGCAGGCAUCGCUGCGUCUGCCGUGCCUGACAUACGCCUCAAAGAUGCAUGCUUCUAAUAAAUUAGUGGAAAACUGUUACCACGAAACGUGUUUCAGCAUAGAUUGGUAGUACGGUCACGGUCGUCGACGGUAAGGCGGUUAGCACGAGUUCUUG